rnacentral:rRNA from 1 species
UACGGAGGGUGCGAGCGUUGUCCGGAAUCAUUGGGCGUAAAGGGCGCGUAGGUGGCCCGGUCAGUUCGUGGUGAAAGCGCGGGGCUCAACCCUGCGUCGGCCAUGAAUACUGCCGCGGCUGGAGCACUGUAGAGGCAGGCGGAAUUCCGGGUGUAGCGGUGGAAUGCGUAGAGAUCCGGAAGAACACCGGUGGCGAAGGCGGCCGCUGGGCAGUUGCUGACACUGAGGCGCGACAGCGUGGGGAGCAA